UACGGAGGGCGCAAGCGUUAAUCGGAAUCACUGGGCGUAAAGCGUGCGUAGGCUGUUUGAUAAGUCAGACGUGAAAUCCCUCGGCUCAACCGGGGAACUGCGUUUGAUACUGUUGAACUAGAGUCCUGGAGAGGGUGGCGGAAUUCCUGGUGUAGGAGUGAAAUCCGUAGAUAUCAGGAGGAACACCGGUGGCGAAGGCGGCCACCUGGACAGGUACUGACGCUGAGGUACGAAAGCGUGGGGAGCAAACAGG
rnacentral:rRNA from 2 species